rnacentral:lncRNA from 1 species
UUUUUACUUAAGAAAAUGUAGGAGAAGGUCAGGCAUGGUGGCUUUACACCUAUAUUCCUAGCACUUUGGGAGGCAGAAGUGGGAGGAUUGCUUGAGCCCAGCCUGGGCAAAAUAGUGAGACCAUGUCUCUACAGAAAAAAAUAUAGCCAGGUGUGGUGGUGUGUGCCUGUGGUCCCAGCUCCCUUGGAGGCUGAGGUGGGAGGGAUCGCUUGAUCCUGGGAGGUUGAGGCUGCAGUGAGCAAGUUAACAUUUUUUGUUACAGGUGGAUAGAUACUUCUCAAGACAUCACACAGCGUGAGUCAAUCAAGGAGGGAAGCCACAAGCAGACUGACAACGUUUCUAGCAGGAUCAGGUGAGCUGUGUCCAGAAAACCAACGAGAAGGAGUGGAAGGAGGAAUGAACGUUUCAUUCUCGUUAAUAAAGGCAUUAUCCUAAUUAUC